rnacentral:lncRNA from 1 species
CCGGCAAAGGAGAUCCUAAGAAGCCGAGACGCAAAAUGUACUCAUGCAUUCUUUGUGCAAAUGGGCCAGGAGGAGCACAAGAAGAAGCAAGAAGUACUCAGAGAGGUGAAAAACCAUGUCUGCUAAAGAAAAAAGUUAAUUUGAAGACAUGGCAAAGACAGAAUAGGCUCGUUAUGAAGGAGAAAUGAAAACCCUUAUCUGCCCCUGCCACCAAAGGAAAGACCAAAAAGAAGUUCAAGGACCCCAACAAAUGCAAGAGGCCUCCUUUGGCCUUCUUUUUGUUUUGUUCUGAGUACCCCCCCAAAAUCAAAGGCAAACAUCCUGGCUUAUGCAUUGGUGAUGUUGCAAAGAAACUAGAAAAGAUGUGAAAGAACACUCCAUCAGAUGACAAGCAGCCCUAUGAGAAGAAGGCCGCCAAGCUGAAGGAGAAGUACUAGAAGGAUAUUGCUGCCUACAGAGCUAAAGGAAACCCCAAUGCAGUCAAAUGGGGGUGGUCAAGGCUGAAAGGAGCAAGAAAAAGAGCGAAGAGGAAGAUGAUGAUGAAGAUUAAAUGGAUGAAGAAGAGGAGGAAGAAGGGGAAGAUGAAAAAGAAGAUGGGGAU